CCCAGCUACAGUUGCUGCCACAUCCCAUUGGUCCAGCUGCAACUGGUGGCGUGCAGAUCUUGGUUAUCAGUUGUUGUGCUGGCAGCUGUCAGUCAGUCACCACCUGCCUUUGUGCUGGACUGGCUUCUACACUGGCUGUGUGUCCAAAUCUUUGGACUGUGUGUGUGUGUGUGUAUGGGGGCAGGUUAUAUAUGCAUGAUUGGGACAUCAGAAUAUUGAAAGGAUGAUUUUUAUGUAUUUUUUUCUUUUUAUAAUUCCAUGGAUUAGGAGAAUCAAUGGAGCACCAGCAUGUCUAUGUCCAACACAUCCUUGGGCACGGCAGUGAAUGAGUUUUUGAUGUUUGUGAGAUCCCUGAAAAUAUUGUCAAUAACAACAGUAAAUAACAGGAGAGAACCACAGCUCACAGCCGUGGUUUACCCUAUCCUCCCCAUCCCUGUGUGUCUUUUGGUGCUGUCCUUGUGUUUCUUGUGUGUCCCCGCCUCGUCUUUAGAUAUGUGUGUGUGUGUGUGUGUGUGUGUAUGGCUUCUGGUCUGGCUCCAUGGUUCCCCGCCUGCUGCUGAUCACCGGCACACCUGUCUUCAAUCACUCCAUCAGUCUCCACAGAUUAAAUACCAGGCUCUCCCACACCACCAAUGCCAGAUCGUCCCUGUACAUUGUACGACCAUUAUGGCAAGGAUUAUCCGGUGCCGGUGAUCACAGUUCCUGUCGUUGUCUAGAUUCCUGUCAGCCUGCCUGCCUGUCUCCAGCUACUCCACCACGGAGCCAGACCCUUUGCAUCUUACCUGCUCCAUGAUCUUGGUUCCGCUGACGGUCAGUCUCCACACACCUCAACCAGCUCUACCCCACGGCCAGCCCAGGUCUACACGGUACUAUCUCCACCCUGCCUCAUGGACCAGUCUGCCUGUCCAGACCCACGCGGCGUCUAGACCGAGACAGGUGGCCGCUGCUUCAGUCUCCACGGCAGAACCAUUGCUACUCUCCAAGUUACCAAGUUCGACGCCGAAGGCUUCGCUCCGAACAGUUACACCCCUUCCCACUAUUCCUGCUAACGUUCUAAAUAAAGUGUGAAUUGGUUGUAAAAGACUACUAGUGUGUUCUGCAUUUGUGGGUUUGAAGAUCGUACAUACGACACAUCCCAGUCUAUACCAACAGGUUCUGGACAACAUCCCAAAAAACACAAAAAGCCCAAACAGAGGCUGCACACUGCAGUCAUCAUGGAUUGUGAAUGCUUCUUGGAAACCCAAAAAGUGACGUUUUUGUCUGCAUAAAGAGCAAUGUCCUUGGAACAUUGUUUUGUUUUUUUUUCAUUGUGAGAGCAAUAAAAACAAUCUGUAUUAAUAUUGAAAAAAUUAUAAAAA